AGCCCGGUGGUGUAAUGGUAGCACUGCUGGUUCUGGUCCAGUUAGUCUUGGUUCGAGUCCAGGCCGGGCUGCCA
rnacentral:tRNA from 1 species